AUGCAGUCGACGAGGUCGCCUUUCGGGCAAUGACCAAGUGGCGAACGGGUCGCGUCAACACGUGAGGAACCUGCCCCGAAGACUGGGACAACCACGGGAAACUGUGGCUAAUACCAGAUGCCCUCCGCUGAUCGCAUGAUCGGCAGAGGAAAUGCUCCGGCGCUUCGGGAGGGUCUCGCGGCCUAUCAGCUAGUUGGUGAGGUAACGGCUCACCAAGGCAUUGACGGGUAGCUGGUCUGAGAGGACGAUCAGCCACACUGGGACUGAGACACGGCCCAGACUCCUGCGGGAGGCAGCAGUGGGGAAUCUUGCGCAAUGGGCGAAAGCCUGACGCAGCAACGCCGCGUGGGGGAUGAAGGCUCUCGGGUUGUAAACCCCUUUCAGCAGGGACGAAAUUGACGGUACCUGCAGAAGAAGCCCCGGCCAACUACGUGCCAGCAGCCGCGGUAACACGUAGGGGGCGAGCGUUGUCCGGAAUUAUUGGGCGUAAAGAGCUCGUAGGCGGUUUGGUAAGUCAGAUGUGAAAGGUUAGGGCUCAACCCUAAGAUUGCAUCCGAUACUGCUAUGACUAGAGUCCGGUAGAGGAGUGUGGAAUUCCUGGUGUAGCGGUGAAAUGCGCAGAUAUCAGGAGGAACACCGACGGCGAAGGCAGCACUCUGGGCCGGUACUGACGCUGAGGAGCGAAAGCGUGGGUAGCAAACAGGGAUUAGAUACCCUGGUAGUCCACGCCGUAAACGUUGGGCACUAUGUGUGGGGCCUUAUCAACGGGUUCCGUGCCGUAGCUAACGCAUUAAGUGCCCCGCCUGGGGGAGUACGGCCGCAAGGCUAAAACUCAAAGGAAUUGACGGGCCCGCACAAG
rnacentral:rRNA from 1 species